UACGGAGGGAGCUAGCGUUAUUCGGAAUUACUGGGCGUAAGCGCACGUAGGCGGCUUUGUAAGUAAGAGGUGAAAGCCCAGAGCUCAACUCUGGAAUUGCCUUUUAGACUGCAUCGCUUGAAUCAUGGAGAGGUCAGUGGAAUUCCGAGUGUAGAGGUGAAAUUCGUAGAUAUUCGGAAGAACACCAGUGGCGAAGGCGGCUGACUGGACAUGUAUUGACGCUGAGGUGCGAAAGCGUGGGAGCAAACAGG
rnacentral:rRNA from 1 species